rnacentral:rRNA from 1 species
AUUACUCCUACGGGAGGCAGCAGUGGGGAAUAUUGGACAAUGGGCGAAAGCCUGAUCCAGCCAUGCCGCGUGUGUGAAGAAGGUCUUCGGAUUGUAAAGCACUUUAAGUUGGGAGGAAGGGCAGUAAGCGAAUACCUUGCUGUUUUGACGUUACCGACAGAAUAAGCACCGGCUAACUCUGUGCCAGCAGCCGCGGUAAUAAU